GAUGAACGCUGGCGGCGUGCUUAACACAUGCAAGUCGAGCGGUAAGGCCCUUUCGGGGGUACGACGAGCGGCGAACGGGUGAGUAACACGUGGGUGACCUGCCCUCAGCUCUGGGAUAAGCCUGGGAAACCGGGUCUAAUACCGGAUAUGACUCCAUGACGCAUGUUGUGGGGUGGAAAGCCUUGUGCGGCUGAGGAUGGGCCCGCGGCCUAUCAGCUUGUUGGUGGGGUGAGGCCUACCAAGGCGACGACGGGUAGCCGGCCUGAGAGGGCGACCGGCCACACUGGGACUGAGACACGGCCCAGACUCCUACGGGAGGCAGCAGUGGGGAAGUCUUGCGCAAUGGGCGAAAGCCUGACGCAGCGACGCCGCGUGAGGGAU
rnacentral:rRNA from 1 species